rnacentral:tmRNA from 1 species
GGGGAUGCUUGGUUUCGACAGGGAGGGACGAUCGUAAGCGGCAAGCCGAGACGCUAAGCCUCGUUAAAUUGGCAAAAGCCAUUAACUGGCAAAACAAACAAUGUGUUCGCGAAGGCUCAGCCCUCGUUCGCACUUGCUGCCUAAUUAGGUAGCACGUUCACCUAACCUCAGCCCGAUGGGUUAGAGUGAACGUCAAUUAGUCGGGCCGCUCUCCCACAUGCGCCUGCGGGGUGGGAGCUAAGAUAAGCAGGAUGGUCACUUGCCCGCUUUGUUUGUUGCGUGGUGCAGUGACGACAAAAAAGCAAUAAACUACGCUUGUAGAUGUUUGCGGUUUAGCUUUCUGGACGCGGGUUCAAUUCCCGCCAUCUCCACCA